UGAGUUCUAAGGUGAAAGUCGAUGAUUUUUU
rnacentral:piRNA from 1 species